rnacentral:rRNA from 1 species
CCCUUAGAUGUUCUGGGCGGCCCGCGCACUACAUUGGCACUCUCAAUAAGUUCCUAGAUCUAAAACUUUGGGGUAUUCUAUUAAGUGGUGUCGUGACUGGGAUUAACCCUUGCAAUUAUUGGUUACGAACGAGGAAUUCCUUGUAAUCGCGGUUUAUCAGCCCGCGUUGAAUGCGUCCCUGCCCUUUGUACACACCGCCCGUCGCUCCUACUGAUUGGUAUAUAAGGUAAAAAUCUCGGAGAAGUUGGGAUUUCAUGCAGGUUUACUUGCAUGUGCCUGGCCUCAAAGUUAUUUAAAUCUUCUGUACUAGAGGAAGGAGAAGUCGUAACA